rnacentral:rRNA from 1 species
AUUGAACGCUGGCGGCAUGCUUUACACAUGCAAGUCGAACGGCAGCGCGGGCUUCGGCCUGGCGGCGCGUGGCGAACGGGUGAGUAAUGCAUCGGAACGUGCCCUGCAGUGGGGGCUAGCACGGCGACAGCCGGAUUAAUACCGCACACGACCUGAUGGUGAAAGCGGGGGACCGAAAGGCCUCGCGCGAUUGGAGCGGCCGAUGUCGGAUUAGCUAGUUGGUGGGGUAAAGGCUUACCAAGGCGACGAUCCGUAGCUGGUCUGAGAGGACGACCAGCCACACUGGAACUGAGACACGGCCCAGACUCCUACGGGAGGCAGCAGUGGGGAAUUUUGGACAAUGGGGGCAACCCUGAUCCAGCCAUGCCGCGUGCGGGAAGAAGGCCUUCGGGUUGUAAACCGCUUUUGUUCGGGAAGAAAACCUCUGGGCUAAUACCCCGGGGGGAUGACGGUACCGGAAGAAUAAGCACCGGCUAACUACGUG